GACAACCGCCUGUUCCUCAACACUGAGAACUUGCAUUGUCUUAAAAACAGACACCUUUCAUAAAAGUCUUCCCAAGUUAAAAUCACAGAUGAAGAAUGCAUUUUUUUUAAAGAAGUGACUUUCUCAGUUCAGAUGAUCAUAAAUAAAAUUCAGUACGAACAAUUACACUAUUUACGUAUUGUGCAUCAAAAUUUAAGUGUAAAAAUUCAGCCAUUCUUUGUAUAUAAUAAAAAAGAUUCUUGUUCUACUUCAUGCAUAUAACGCCUCUUCUUCCAGUUGUGUCCUUUUCAAAUACUUUGGCGGUCUAAACAUCUUUGGAGCAAGCAGUGCCAUGAAAAUUAGCAUAUCUUGUACUUUGCAGAAAGUGAACAAUCCUUGGGACUGUAGAUUCAUCUCACAAGGCCACUGAAACACUCUUUGAAAUUUCGCCCACAUCCGAGUUUCUCUUAUGCUGUCAACUACAUUGCACAAAGGACAAAUACUGUGUAAUAUGCAAUCAACUUCCCUGCUGCUUUGCAGAGGUGAAAAUCCAAAGACUUUCCUAGUCAUCUUUGGUUCAGCACAAACACCRGUCAUAUCGUGGACCUGAUCUCCAGCUUUGAUAUCUCCAUUAAGAACCUUGUUGUUAGCCAUUAUCGAGUAGUCUGUCCUUUCACUCUGACUCUUCAGCUCCCAACCAAUAGGAGAGAGUCACCUUCCUGGUGCAACGAGGACUCAUAGACUGUAAUAUUCCGAACUCCCUAAAGGAAAGCAACACCUUGCUUGCGGAAGGAGGAAUGGAGGAUCUGCACUGAUGAGUGGUUUCCUGUCAGUAGCUGAGGAGAAGAAAUUCAUACUUGGUUUCCUGGAUCUCUGCAGCUGUUACCGUGACUCACCAUGUGAUACUGCUGCCUCAUCUGAAUGUGGUAGUGGCAAGGAAGGGAAAAACAGUAAAAUGAGGAUCGCCUUCAUCGUUACAUCUGAUAUUUGGAAUUCACCGUAAAAACGCAGCAGCAAUGCACAUGUACGUGAGACGACCCGAACGAUGCGGCC
rnacentral:lncRNA from 1 species